CCAGCCUCAAACACCUCAGCUUUGUGAAAGAUGGCAGGUUAGAGUCACAGUGCAAAAGGCCACUGGAUCAAAUACCAAAGCACUGUGACUAACAGGUGACUUUAUGAUGAAUCACAAUGUUUGUAGUUCAGGAGGAUGUCACAGUCAAAUCUCAUGCUUAGUGGAUUCAUCACCAUGUGUGGGGGCAGAAACUACUUCCACUCUUACCUUCCAUACUGCAUAACUGCCAGCUCAACAAUCACUGUAUGUCAUAAAAACACAGAGAAAUUGUUCACAAUGAUGGAAUGACAACCCGUCAUAACCAAUAGACAACUUCUGCCUCACACUUAAGGCCCCAAAGGAACAAGAAUAAAAGCAAUACUUAGAUUAUCAGGAACUACAAUGCCAAUGAAGGAAUGACAACCAUCAUUGUUGUCAACAACAUGUCAACAACAUCAACAAAUAGAAAGCAUUCCUCCAUUCAUCACUCCUUCUGGGAAGAAGUAGACUAAGAGGUAAGAAGCAACUAAUUUUUCAUGGGAUUUGAAACUAAGUAGGUGAAUCUGAAGUCUGCGCUGCUUCCAUUCCAUCCCAUUGUCUCUUCUGAGGGAGAAAGCUUCUAAGGGAGAAAGCCUUUGGGGCUUGGUCAAAGCAUGUAUCUUGCAACCUUCUUUGAAUAAGGCUCAGUGCAAAGCUGGGGCCAGUGACCUUGACCUUCCUUCAUCCCUAUCUAUCAAGGAUUUUUUGUGAGCAUAAGAGGCAGCAACUUUACUUGUAUUUCAUUUCAUAGCUUAAUUAUAUCUACAUGCAAUUAGAAAACAUAUGGUAAGGCAUAUUUGUGAAGGUCACAAAAUCUAGUAGAGCUGGAAUGCCAGGAUUUGAUUCCAACUUCUGCCACUUACUAACUGCGGAACCUUAGGCAAGUCACUGAACCCCUAAGUUUCCUCAGCUGUAAAACAAUAAUAAACAGAGUCUACAGGUCACAGAUUUCUAUGAGAAUUAAAUUAGUUAACAAAAUAAAGCACUAAGAACUGUGCCUGGUACAUAAAAUAUACUGCAUGAGGGUUAGCUAUCACCACAAUAAGUAGGCAAGUUACCAACACCUUAAACGCUGAGUUAGAACAAAUCUAAAAACUCUAUGCUGGCCAGGCGCGAUGGCUCACACCUGUAAUCCCAGCACUUUGGGAGGCCAAGGUGGGCAGAUCACCUGAGGUCAGGAGUUCUAGACCAGCCUGGCCAACAUGGUGCAACCCCAUCUCUACUAAAAAUACAAAAAUUAGCAGGGUGUGGUGGUGGGCGCCCGUAAUCCCAGUUACUCAGGAGGCAGAGGCAGGAGAAUCGCUUGAGCCCACAAGGCAGAGGUUGCAGUGAGCUGAGAUCACACUACGGCACUCCAGCCUAGGCAACAGACAGAGCAAAACUCCAUCUCAAAAAUAAAUUAACAAACAAACAAAAACUGUAUAUUUAAGACCUACCUUUACUUAUUGAAGGAGGCCACUUCAAAAUGGUAAUGCUCCUUUCCUGUCUAGGUUCCCCAUACUUAGGGUACCCCAGACCCACCAAACCACACAGUGCCAGGCCUCUUUGUCUCCUAUAAUCUAUUCCUCCUUAAAAACCCAGCUAGAGAUUUUCUCUUCUACCCUACCAAGUAAAGAAUGUGCCCGCUUUCCUUUGCAUGCCUAUCUCUUAGAAUAUUAAUCCCAUAAAUUAUAAUUUCCCCAAAGAGACACUGAUCUUCAAGGGUAUGACUGUGUUUUUCUUAUUACUUAAUACCUAGAACUGUAUUUUGCACAUAUUAGAAACUUGACAAAAUUAAGAAACCCAAAGGACAUUCAAAUUCUUUCUCCCAAUUUAAAAAUUAUGGGUACAGGGACAAGAGUGGAGUUGGAAAACGUCAGUCACCCUAAUAAACAAGGCACAUUUAAUAAACAGGAUACGCAUCUCUAUUUUCUUCCCCAUCCCCAGAUAAUUGUUUUUGAGUGAUGAACCAAAAAAAAAAAAACCUAAUAAAUGCACAAGUUUAUAAUUUGAGAAACUAGCGUGACAAAAAUGAGGUCAUCCCAUGGAUGUCAUAAAAUAAGCAUGACUUUCUUCUCUCAAUUCUUUUACUUAUUGCCCAUAUAAUUAAAUACAGUUGUAAUUUAAUUCUGUUGGCUGUUAUUUCAUGCUCACAACAAAACAUUUCUCUCUCUCUCUUCCUUAAGUUUGUGUAGAUGAUUUUAUUCCCAUGAGCAUCAAAGAGCAGGGUUUAACAAUGAAAUGUUGAAAACAAUCAAAACUUACAAAGAAGUUUAUCUGACACACUCAAUGACAGGCAUAAUUAUCAUUGUGUUGCAUGGUAAUUAGGUAUAAAAGGCAAACAGUUCCUUUAAAUGUCUCUAAUUAGUACUGCUCUUAAAUCUUCAAACCAAGUAGUUGAGGAGUCAGCGGCAGGGAAACCUGCUCCUAUAACACAAUGCUCCUCAAUGGUGGCUUCAUAUGAGAAUCAGCAGGGGAGCUUUUAAUAUACAUAUAUAUAUAUACGCACCUAUAAUCCAUAUGCCCAGGGCUCUUGCCUCAAAUCAAUUUAGUUAGAAUACCUGGGGGUUAGACCCAGGCAUCAGUACUUCUUAUUACAGGUGAUUACAAUGUAAACUUAAGAUUAAGGAUUACAGCUGUAAACAACAACAUGGAAGAGAGUUGAAGUUGUCCCUUCCCUCUAUAUUUCCACAGCACUAGGAACAUGCUCUACUGAAGGCUCAUCAAUUAAUCAAUCAAUUAGGUAAUUAACAAGUAUUGAUUAACAAUGAUCAAUUAAUGUUUGUUACAAGAAUUUGACAUAGCUUGUUCUCUUCUGCAAUAUAAUACACAAGUGAGAAAAUCCCUACUCUCCUCUCCCUCCUCCCAGCAUUCUGUCUGGAACCUGAAACGUGGCCUGGCACCUAGAAACAUGCUGUCAAGUUAGCCUCAGUGUGUGAACUUUUUUUUAAUUUUAAUAAAAUAUACAUAACAUAAAAUGUAUCAUUUUAACCAUUUAUAAGUGAACAGUUUAGUAGCAAUAAGUAUAUUCUCAUUGUUUUACAACCAUCACCACCAUCUAUCUCCAGAAUCUUCCCAAACUGGAACUCUGUACCUAUUAUAUAUUCCCUGGGUCUCCUCACCCCUCCUGCUCCUGGCAAUCUCCAUUCUAAUUUCUGUCUCGAUGAAUUUGACGAUUCGAGGUACCUCAUAUAAAUGGAAUCCUGCAUUUGUCUUUUUAAGUCUGGCUAAUGUCUGCAAGCUUCAUUCCUGCUGUAGUAUGUGUCAGAGUUCCUCUGUAAGGCUGAAUAAUAUCCCAUUGCAUGUAUAUACUACAUUUUGUUUCUCCAUUCAUCUGUUGACGGACACGGGGUUGUUUCUGCUUUUUGGCUACUAUGAAUAACACUGCUAUAAGCAUGGAUGUACAAGAUUUUUUAUGCAUGGCUUUACCUACCCGGCAUAGCCAAUAUUCCUAAACAGGAAUCUCACACCAGAGAAGCAAAAGGCUUGGUGAAUGAGGAGUGAGGACCUGUGACUUGCUCCUCAUCAACAAAACACAGCAAUGAUGACGGAAGGCCAUUCCUGGGUAGGUUAUAUAAGACUUCAUCUUAGUUAACUGUAAAGGGCUUAUCCAGCUGAGUCUGAAGAAGUAAGCUGCCAUGCUAUGAGAGGGCCUGUGAGAGGGACGCAAGGCAGGAACUCUAGGCAGCCUCUAGGAGCUGAGAGCAGCCCCAGCUGACAGCUAGCAAGAAAAUGGGGACCUCAGCCCUACAACCACAAGGAAUUGAAUUUGGCCAACAAUCACGUAAGCUGGGAAGAGGACCUCUUCCUGUAGAAAGCUCUAGAAAUGAACACGGCCAGUUGACCCUUUGACUGCAGCCUUGUGGCUGACGUCAGAGAAGAUGACUUAAAUAAGUCACACCUGGACUCUUGG
rnacentral:lncRNA from 1 species